GGACGGGAGUUGGGGGGAAAACCUAUCCAAUGAAAACCGCUGCCAGGGGGGCAUUUGAACUGGGCUGCUCGCUGUCUCGCUCUCCCCUCUCUGCCCCGCGCUCCGCGCUCCCCCCUCCCGGCCAGCGCUCGCUCUCCGGCGCGCUCGCAUGCUCGCUCGCUCGCUCUGCCGCCAACCGACGAGUCCUCAACAAGUUGGAGGAAGGCAGGAAAGCAGGGGUUAAGCUCGGCAAGCUGCAAUUACCAAGAUCGUGACCCUCCCACACAGUACAGUAACUUAUAUACUUACCUGGAAGAGCCCGCUUUGCCGCUGGGCAAACACGCGUGGGGGGCGGGGAGGGGCGGGAGGGAAGCGGCCCGGCCGGACCUGGGCUCCUUCAAGCUGGCUGCAGUGCGGAUGGGACCGGCGCGCCCCCCGCGGCCCCCCGGACCCAGGUUCGGAGGCAAAGGGUGGAAGGUUCUGGGCACAGUUGCUUCCAUCUCAGACCCAGACCCUCUUCUCUGCUCCAGGUAGGACUUCACUAGCAAGCUCCUCCUGACAUCAGGGGCAGCCUCCCUACUCCUGGACUUCCUGUGAAAUACCCCAGCCCCUAGGCUUUCCCCCUGCUCCAAGCCAGCACAGUAACCCUGCCCAUCUUUUGCCCUUCCAGGUGGUCAGCCUGUCCUGACACCCAGAGGUCUGUUCAACGGUGGCCGCUGAAGGAGCAGCUCUCAAGAGGCCACAGGAGCUGAAGAGCCUGGUCGUGUGUUCUCAGGAGUUCCAGGUGAGUGCAAACAGAUGUGGUGCCUGUGGCCUCUUCGCUUGGGUGGACGCAAGGGUCGCCACCCACACACCCUGCUUGGUGAUGAGAUACUGAGAAGCCAGAGAUCCCAUGUUUGGGGACUGUCCUUGAUGGCUUAGUCCCUGUCGAGGAAAGGCAUGGGGUUAUCAAGGUCACAGGGAAGGGCAGGAUACUGCAGGAGGCAGGCUCGCUUCCUUUCCUGUGUCCUAGGCCAGCUUUGGGUCUGGGCGUUCGGAAGCUCCCCAUACCCUAACCCUGAGGGGUGCAGACCUUACUCAAUGGGACCUUCUGUUCCCUCUUCACCCCACUUUCUGGGCAUUUCUCGCCUCUCAUGAACCAGGAGAGUUGCAGGGUCAUUCCCUAAGCUCAGUUUCCCUGAGGAUGCCAAAAUGUAAGGUUAUGGCUCCUUAAUUGGAGUUUAGCAUAGGUUGGACAGGAAGAGUUUUGGGCUUUUUUUUUUUUUUUUUUUUUUUUUUUUUUUUUUGAGGGAUAAGACCUUAGAGUCUAAAUACAUUUACUUUUCCUAUUCACCAGCAAAAAUUCUUUUGCAGAGCUUCUGUUUAGCUGCCUUUCAGAGCUUCAGACUCCUACUAUGAUUCUUACUGAGGAAUUCAGUUCCAAGCUUGGUAGAGAAUUUUGGACCUCCAGGGCAGUUAGAUUUGCAAGGAAGGGAAAGAUUGAAACACCAGGCUCGGGCCAGGGAGUCACGUGAGCCAAAUGUAGGAAGCGGCU
rnacentral:lncRNA from 1 species